UCUGUUCAUGGUGCACACUGGUGUUUUUUGUUUCAGCUGUGAUAAAAAUCGCAGCUGAAACAAAAACAUCAGUGUGCACAAUGAACAAU